GGCGAGAUGGCUCAAUGGUUAGAGCGCGAAUUUACUGAUCGGAAGGUCCUGGUUCGAACCCGACUUCUGCCU
rnacentral:tRNA from 1 species